UACGGGGGGGGCAAGCGUUGUUCGGAAUUACUGGGCGUAAAGGGCUCGUAGGCGGCCAACUAAGUCCGAUGUGAAAUCCCCAGGCUUAACCUGGGAACUGCGUCGGAUACUGGUUGGCUUGAAUCCGGGAGAGGGAUGCGGAAUUCCAGGUGUAGCGGUGAAAUGCGUAGAUAUCUGGAGGAACACCGGUGGCGAAGGCGGCAUCCUGGACCGGCAUUGACGCUGAACAGCGAAAGCCAGGGGAGCAAACGGG
rnacentral:rRNA from 1 species